GGGGUUGUGGCUCAGUGGUAGAGUGCUUGCCUAGAACAUAUGAGGCACUGGGUUCAAACCUCAGCACCACA
rnacentral:tRNA from 1 species